ensembl:misc_RNA 7SK 7SK RNA
GGAUGUGAGGGCAAUCUGUCUGCAACAUCUGUCACCCCAUUUAUUGCCAGGGUUGAUUCAGCUGAUCUGGCUGACUAGACUGGGGUCCCCUUCCUCCCUCUCCACUCCAUGUGCAUCCCUCCUAAACCUGCAUACCUGGCCACCCCCAUAGUGGAGGACCGUAUCUGAGUAGCUGCGCUCCCCAGCUAGAACCACCAAACAAGCUCUCAAGGCCCACAGUAUGUUCAAGGCCAACCUGAACUACAUAGAGAGAUCCUCAAAAAUAUAAAGCAAACAAAUGAACAAAAGGUAGGUGACACUUCACUUGCUCUUGGUGAAUUU